rnacentral:misc_RNA from 1 species
CUAGGUCUGAACUCUCAAGUCCGGACCGGACCGGACCGGAUAUUUUUGGCCUCCCCGGCAGGCUCCCCCCUAUCUUCAACACCGCAGCCGCUCGCUCCCCUCUUCUCCUGGUCCUCGUGCGCGCGCGCGAGACAGAGAGAGGCGAGUGGCAAUGGCGAGCUCUGGCAGCUGCCACUCGCUCCUCUCUUCAGCCUCACCAAUCUCGCCUGCGCUCUUCUCGCGACACCGAGCGGCCGCCGUCGGUGGAGGAGCCAGCCGGGCGAGUAAAGUGCAAUCGCAGGUCAGGUGUCUUGCUAGAGAUGAGGAUUCGAAGGGGUGCGCAAACGUUUCCAAGGCCGAGACUAAUGAAGAAAAAGAAACUACGCCUUCAUCAAGACGAAGAUGUCUGGUCUGUCUCGGCGCUGUUACCUUGAUCAGCGCGACAGGACCACCAAACGGACUCGCUGCGGAUGCGAUGAACAAGGCCGGGGUACAGAAAGCUGUUUGCAGGAACUGUAAUGGCAGUGGUGCUGUGAUAUGCGACAUGUGUGGUGGCACAGGGAAAUGGAAGGCCCUCAAUCGGAAGAGGGCGAAAGAUGUUUAUGAAUUCACCGAGUGCCCGAAUUGCUACGGCCGCGGAAAGUUGGUGUGCCCUGUCUGUCUCGGAACUGGCCUGCCAAACAACAA